rnacentral:lncRNA from 1 species
CAGAUAUCCACCUCCUGCUCGCUCUCCUCACUACCACCUCCCAUCGGUCUUUGCCGUCAUCUUCCUCCCCGUCAUCACCGACAUUGGGCUUCCCACUCCAAUCUCCCUUGGGUGCUUUUCUUUCCACAGAUUUCUGAGAAAGAGAGAUGUUGACCUCUUCCCUGCUCUCCUUGCCAUCACAUCCUAUCAGUCUCUAUCAUCACCUUUCUCUCCAUCAUCACUAGCAUUGGCCUUCCCCUCCGAUCUCCCUCAGGUUUCUUCUCAUAUAUCUCGAAAAAAGAGAAAGAAAUGAAAAGAAAAAAGAAAAAAAAUACCCAACACAAAACCCCAGCCAUCGUCUUGGCUUCCUAUUUAGCUGAUCUAAGCCUCCGGGUGUUUUUUUUCCAAGCAGUGGCAAUAUUUUUUUAUUUUUUUGGCUUUGAACCCUUCUGGAGAGCCAUUUUUAUCAUGAGAA